GCGGGCUGUGCGGGCAGGAAGAGCGACGAGCUUGAGAGUGGGAGAUGGGGUGCAACGGCGGGCCUCUCCGGGGAGGUGACACUGCCGCUGAGACCCGAAUGGAAGGGCGCGCCCGGCGGGGAACAGCAGGCGCCGAGGUGGACCCAGGGGCAGCUGCGGCUGGUCCAUGUGGAGCUCCUUCAAGCCGAAGCAUCCGACACCAGUGUCUGUGAGGUGUGGGCCCGGCCCCAGGAGCGGGGCCUGGGCAGCCCCGUGUGUUGAGGAAGGAAGGCAGGGCCCCCGCUCCCCGGGCCUGACCCCACUGCUUCAGCCCCCUCCUGCCUGCCUACAGCCUGGCCUCGAGGGCCCAUCAGAUGGAGUCUCACUCUGUCGCCCAGACUGGAGUGCAAUGGCGUGAUCUUGGCUCACUGCAAGCUCCGCCUCCCCGGUUCACGCCAUUCUCCUGCCUCAGCCUCCUGAGUAGCUGGGACUACAGGCGCCCGCCACCACACCCGGCUAAUUUUUUUGUAUUUUUAGUAGAGACGGGGUUUCACCGUGUUAGCCAGGAUGGUCUUGAUUUUUCGACUUCAUGAUCCGUCUGCCUCGGCCUCCCAAAGUGCUGGGAUUACAGGCGUGAGCCACCGCGCCCGGCCAAGCACUUCCUUGAACACAGAAGUGACCAUGAGGAGGGAGGCGUGAACCAGGAUGACGGGGCAGCAGAUGGAGCCUGCCUCCCUGAGACCUCAGGUGACCGAGCCCUGUACUGCCUCCUCCUGCCUACAUGGCUGAGAAAUAAACUUCUUUUUCAAACCAC